AUAUACACAUACACACAUACAUAUACAUAUACAUAUACAUAUACAUAUACAUAUACAUAUACAUAUGUGUGUGUGUGCAUAA